UUCUUGUCGCUAAAAUUAUUUUCUUUUGCAUAUUCUUUUAAUAUUUAUUGCAAUAAUUAAUUUUAAUUAAAAAAAAUGUUUUCUUGUCGCUAAAUAGUUUCUUGUCGCUUGUUGUCGCUAAAAUAAUUCUUGUUGUCGCUUCUUGUCGCUUGUUGACGCUUGUUGUCGCUAAAAUUCUUGUUGUCGCUAAUUAGUGAGACCGUACUAUCUUUAGCACUCUCAGAUGUACUGUAUCUUAUUUCACCACCCUUUUCGCAUAUAUCAUCAGAUUCACUUGCUGAAUCAACAUUUGAUGUACUUGCAUUGUCAUUUUCUGCAUUAUCAAAGUUAUUAAAAAAAUUAACUGUAACAUUUGAACUGUAAC
rnacentral:lncRNA from 1 species